rnacentral:rRNA from 1 species
UACGUAGGGUCCGCGCGUUGUCCGGAAUUAUUGGGCGUAAAGAGCUCGUAGGCGGUCUGUCGCGUCGAUCGUGAAAACUUGGGGCUUAACCCUGAGCUUGCGGUCGAUACGGGCAUGACUGGAGUUCGGCAGGGGAGACUGGAAUUCCGUGGUGUAGCGGUGAAAUGCGCAGAUAUCAGGAGGAACACCGGUGGCGAAGGCGGGUCUCUGGGCCGAUACUGACGCUGAGGAGCGAAAGCGUGGGGAGCGAACAGG